UGGGGAAUAUUGCGCAAUGGGCGAAAGCCUGACGCAGCGACGCCGCGUGAGGGAUGAAUGCCUUCGGGUUGUAAACCUCUUUCAGCAGGGAUGAAGCGCAAGUGACAGUACCUGCAGAAGAAGCACCGGCUAACUACGUGCCAGCAGCCGCGGUAAUACGUAGGGGGCGAGCGUUGUCCGGAAUUAUUGGGCGUAAAGAGUUCGUAGGCGGUUUUUUAAGUCAGAUGUGAAAGGCUACAGCUUAACUGUGGUAAGCAUUUGAAACUGGAAGACUUGAGUUAAGGAGAGGAAAGUGGAAUUCCUAGUGUAGCGGUGAAAUGCGUAGAUAUUAGGAGGAAUACCAGUGGCGAAGGCGACUUUCUGGACUUAUACUGACGCUGAGGAACGAAAGCGUGGGGAGCAAACAGG
rnacentral:rRNA from 1 species